GAUGAAACGCUGGCGGCGUGCCUAAUACAUGCAAGUCGAGCGAGUUCGCGUUUGGAUCGGAAGGUGCUUGCACUGGAUGUGACGAACAUUUGAACGAGCGGCGGAUGGGUGAGUAACACGUGGGUAACCUGCCCUUAAGUGGGGGAUAACAUUUGGAAACAGAUGCUAAUACCGCAUAAACCACGGCACCACAUGGUGUUGUGUUGAAAGAUGGCGUAAGCUAUCGCUUUUGGAUGGACCCGCGGCGUAUUAGCUAGUUGGUAAGGUAACGGCCUACCAAGGCGAUGAUACGUAGCCGAACUGAGAGGUUGAUCGGCCACAAUGGGACUGAGACACGGCCCAUACUCCUACGGGAGGCAGCAGUAGGGAAUCUUCCACAAUGGACGCAAGUCUGAUGGAGCAACGCCGCGUGAGUGAAGAAGGCUUUCGGGUCGUAAAACUCUGUUGUUGGAGAAGAACGUGUGUGAGAGUAACUGUUCAUGCAGUGACGGUAUCCAACCAGAAAGCCACGGCUAACUACGUGCCAGCAGCCGCGGUAAUACGUAGGUGGCAAGCGUUAUCCGGAUUUAUUGGGCGUAAAGCGAGCGCAGGCGGUUUUUUAAGUCUGAUGUGAAAGCCUUCGGCUUAACCGAAGAAGGGCAUCGG
rnacentral:rRNA from 1 species